UGAUUUUGGAUGGGCUUUCUAGCAAAAACGUGAAGAUCAAAUGGAUACCGAUUAUUCAGGCUCUUGCUUCAUAUUUCUUUUGGCUGUUUUUGGAGCCUGUUUUCAUGAAUUUGCAUCUAUGCUAAUGAUCCCUUUCUCAUAUUCAAAAUUCAGAAUUUAUGGGCCACUUAUGAAACCUCCGUUUUUGAACUCCUCCCAAUUGAUCAGGCUG
rnacentral:lncRNA from 1 species